UACAGAGGUCUCAAGCGUUGUUCGGAUUCAUUGGGCGUAAAGGGUGCGUAGGCGGCGCGGUAAGUCGGUGGUGAAAUCUCCGGGCUUAACCCGGAAACUGCCAUUGAUACUAUUUGUCUUGAAUACUGUGGAGGUCAGCGGAAUAUGUCAUGUAGCGGUGAAAUGCUUAGAUAUGACAUAGAACACCAAUUGCGAAGGCAGCUGGCUACACAAAUAUUGACACUGAGGCACGAAAGCGUGGGGAUCAAACAGG
rnacentral:rRNA from 1 species